CGCGGCGUAGCUCAGCGGAUAGAGCACCUCGUUUUCUACAGCCUGAGAACAUCACAAUUCCAGAGGUUGGGCGAGGAGGUCGCGGGUUCAAGUCCCGCCGCCGCGU
rnacentral:tRNA from 1 species